UGGGGAAUUUUGGACAAUGGGCGCGAGCCUGAUCCAGCCAUGCCGCGUGCAGGAUGAAGGCCCUCGGGUUGUAAACUGCUUUUGUACGGAACGAAAAGCCUCUUUCUAAUAAAGAGGGGUGAUGACGGUACCGUAAGAAUAAGCACCGGCUAACUACGUGCCAGCAGCCGCGGUAAUACGUAGGGUGCGAGCGUUAAUCGGAAUUACUGGGCGUAAAGCGUGCGCAGGCGGUCUUGCAAGACAGUGGUGAAAUCCCCGGGCUCAACCUGGGAACUGCCAUUGUGACUGCAAGGCUGGAGUACGGCAGAGGGGGAUGGAAUUCCGCGUGUAGCAGUGAAAUGCGUAGAUAUGCGGAGGAACACCGAUGGCGAAGGCAGUCCCCUGGGCCUGUACUGACGCUCAUGCACGAAAGCGUGGGGAGCAAACA
rnacentral:rRNA from 1 species